CUGGAAGGGAAAUGCUGCAGGAGGGAGUCCCCCCCCAACAGCUGUGUUAUACGUGAUCGGUGUCAUUGGGCUGGGCAUAGGGGACACGUGGUCUUGAGUCCUCAGUGUUUUCCAUCCACAUAUUGUCUGUAGGAUCAAUCCCUCCUCCACCGAGCGGGAGGGCGAUCUUUCAAGAUCCCCCCAGAUUUUCGUCUCCAACGUUGGUCCAAUGAGGCCCCUGUCGAGUACCACCCAUUGUUUAAUUUCCUGUGUUGCGUGCCAAUCUAGUGCACGAUGCAUGAUCGUGGCCUGAUGAUAUUUCCUAAAAUCUGGAAGCGCUAGUCCUCCGCAGAUUCUAGGUCGGCAGAUAAUGUCGUGUCUAAUCCUGGAUCUUCCUCCUCGCCAGACGAAUUUGAUCACCGCCGUUUUCAGGGUGGAGAAAAAGGUUGGAGGUAGUACGAGGGGUAUGGUUUGCAUGAGGUAUAGGAUUCUCGGGAGGAUAUUCAUUUUAAUCACCGCUAUCCUCCCGUGCCAUGUUAUGUUAGGGUGAGACCACUUGGACAGGUCUGCGAGUAUCCUCUUUAAUAAGGGUGUAAAGUUAUAGUGAUAUAUAUUCCCCGGGUUCGUGGUUACCCAGAUGCCCAGGUAUUUCAUCUUGUCGUGGCACCAGUGGAACCCAAAUUCCGGUUCUAAAGAGCGGUAUUCAUCUGUGGGGAUUGUUAAAUUCAGGACCUCGCAUUUCGAGAUGUUAAGUUUAAAUCCCGAUAUCUGGCCAAAUCUAUUAAACUCAGAGAGAAGGCACGGCAUAGUGAUCCUAGGGUUAUGGACAAAGAAGAGGAGGUCAUCUGCGUAUGCGGCAACUUUGUGCUGUACUCCCUGCCAGUUAUAUCCUUGUAUGUCCGGAUUCUGGCGGAUUGCCUGUAAUAGUGGCUCCAGGGUCAUUGCAAACAGCAACGGUGACAGUGGGCAUCCCUGCCGGGUCCCAUUGUUGAUCGCGAAGUCCGCUGUCGUAGCCCCAUUGAUCCGCACCGAUGCGCGCGGUUUGCUAUAAAUGGCAGAUAUCCACGUGAGGAGUCUCUGACCACAGCCUAGUUGUUUCAGUGUUGCCAGCAUAUAUGUCCAAUUGACCCGGUCAAAUGCUUUUUCUGCAUCUGUUGAUAACAAUAGCAACUGGGUCCCCAGUUUCCUCGCGUGGUGUUGGAUAGAGAAAAGUCGUAGGGUGCUGUCCCUAGCUUCUCGACCUGGGAUGAAUCCCGUCUGGUCCUCGUGUAUCAAAUCGGGGAGAAGAUGUUUUAUUCUGGUCGCUAGUGUUUUCGUGAACAAUUUAGCGUCCACAUUUAGUAGCGAAAUCGGUCGAUAGCUGCUGCAAUGAAGUGGAUCUUUCCCUGGUUUAAGUAGGACUGUAAUGAUGGCUGAUAGGGACUCCCCACCCAGUUCUCCCCCCUCACCAACCACGUUGAGUGCCUUGGUGAGCCAGGGCAACAGUAUUCCCGAGAAGGUUUUAUAGUAUCCCGUGGAGAAGCCGUCCGGACCAGGAGCCUUGCCAGUUUUAGAUGACUUAAGGGCUGCGGCUAAUUCUUCCACUGUGAUUGGUGUGUCCAGUUGUGUUGCCGAGUCUUGAUUGAUUGUGUUUGUGAUUGUGUUGGAUAGGUAGUCCUGUAUUUUCUCAGUUUCUCUCGCGGCUUCGGUGGCCUCUUUAGGCGCAUACAAAUUGUAGAGAUGCUCGUAAAAGGCCCGAAAUUCCCCAGCGAUUUUCUCAGGAAAGGGGGAGAUCUCCCCAGAAGCCAGGCGAAUCCUGCGUAUUUGUCUAUGGGGCAAAGGACCUUUCAGCAGUUUCGCCAGGUAUUUACCUCCUUUAUUGGCGUGUACGUAGUAAAAGCUCUUUGUGCGUUGUACGGCUCGAAGAUGCCUUUUCAAGAUUAGGUCUUUGAGUUUUCGUCUGUGUUCCAUCAAUUCUCCGUAAACUGCAUUUAGCUGGGAUCGUUUGUGUUGGCGUUCCAGGGUCGAUAUAGAGUGAUACAAAUCCACCAUUUCAUGCAUAAAUGCCUUCCGUUUCCGAGAGGCGAUGCGUAUAAGUUCACCGCGUAUCACACUCUUGUGGGCUUCCCAUAUGGAUAUUGCGGAGGUCUCUGGAGAGUCAUUUUCCCUAAAGUAUUGUUCCAGUGCUUUUUGAAUUUGUUCCUUGGUAUCUGGAUCUAGCAGUAGAGCUUCGUUAAGUCUCCAGGUCCACGCCUUUGGUCUGUACAGGGGUGAGUCCAGUUCUAUCUCGACUGAUCCAUGGUCUGACCAGGUGCCAGUCUCGAUCUUAGCUCCGCGCAGGUGGGAAAGUCCUUCCUGAGCAGUAAGGAUAUAGUCUAUACGGGAAUAUCGAUCGUGAAGGGCGGAAAAGUAGGUGAAGUCCUUCACUGUGGGGUGAAGCGUUCUCCAACAGUCCACUAGCCUCAAGGCCUCCAACGACUGUCGGAUGGAUCUAAUGUUAUGUUGUGAAAUGCUGCUAUGACCUGUAGAGGAGUCCAGUGUAGGAUCGAGUGGGGUGUUGAAGUCGCCUCCUACCAAAAGUAUCCCAUCCGUGAAGUCCUCCAGUUGUUGUAACACAUUUCGGAGGAAUGGGGCCUGCCUUUUGUUGGGCACAUAGAUGGUUGCUAUUGUGUAUAUCCUGUCUGCUAUGGUGCCUUUAAGAAAGAGGUAUCUUCCUUGUGAGUCUUGUAAAUGUUCUAGUUCUUUGAACUCCAGCUCAGCGGCUAAUAGUAUGGCAACUCCAGAUUUAUGAGCCGUCGGAUGGUUGCAGAAGUAGUUGUUAGGAUAAUGCUUGUUCCGUAUUCUUGGGGGCGAUCCUUCCUUGAAAUGCGUUUCUUGGAGCAUUGCUAUCGCUACGUGUUUUUUCCUCAAUUCUCGUAGCAGGUGUGUCCUACGUUCAGGGAUGUUAAGUCCUCUGCAAUUCUGUGUGAUGAUCUUCAAAGGUGCGCUUUGGUAGGUCAUUAUCUCUGUGUACGUCGGGAACCUCUUCAGACCAGUGCCGGACCCGUAGUCUCCCCCAAUGCUCCGCCGUCCCAAGGGGGGACCACGCGUCCAAGGCACAGGAUGGGC